rnacentral:rRNA from 1 species
GGAGGGCUCAAAAAGGGGGCGGAAAGCUCCUGAGGCAGCAGUAUAUAACUUUAUGCAAUGUACGAAAGUGCGACAUAGAAGGGGCGUAUUACUUAAUCUGUCUAAUUAAGUGCCAGCAGACGCGGUGAAACUUAAGGAUUAGUAUUAUAGGAAAAAGCGUAAAGGGUGUGAGGGGCUUAUCCCGACAAGAGGGUAAAUGGAAUUUUUCUGUAGGGGUAGAAUGUGAAGAUAGAAAAAAGAACUCUAAACGCGAAGGCAAUUUAUCUCAUGGGAGGUACGCCAACUGCUCCGUUGUUACACGAAAAUAUGGGGAGCAAACAGGAUUAGAGACCCUGGUAGUCUAUAUUGUAAAUAAUGAAGAAGAUGUGAGGCAAUCCUAAAAGGCAAUAAAUUUUUCGCUUGAGUAGUAUGAUCGCAAGAUUUAAAUUCAAAAAACUUGGCUGUUCACUGCUAUAAUCAAGGAGCGUGUGGUUUAAUUCGAUAGUCCGCGAGAAACCUUACCCAAACUUGAAUUCGCCCAUUUAACAGGUAUUGCAUGGCCGUCGUCAAUUUGUGUAUUAAAUGUAAAACGGAUUCAACCCAGUGGUUGGCACCCCAUCGUCUUCGGAGCGUUGUCAUUAUUGGAUGAAGUCAGGUCUUAUUGUCCUAAUGUUUGGGGAUUAGAUGCGCUACAUUUUCUUAUACAAUGGGAGAUUUUGAAGGUGGAACCCUAAAGUAAGAGUUCGGGAGGUGGCUGGAAGAUAGCUGAAAGUUGUAUUUGAUAGUAAUUAGAAAGUAGAGCGUUCUGGUGAAAUUGACGCAGUAUUAGUACAAAUAGCCCGUCGUCUUGGUCAAGAAGGGUUACUCAAAUGCCCCCUGUUGUUGGGGUGUAGUGUUACUUUGAGAUGGAGUAAGUC